GAAUAUUGGACAAUAGGGGCAACCCUGAUCCAGCAAUGCCGCGUGUGUGAAGAAGGCCUGCGGGUUGUAAAGCACUUUCAGUAGAGAAGAAAAGCCUAAGGUUAAUAACCUUGAGUCUUGACGUAACCUACAGAAGAAGCACCGGCUAACUCCGUGCCAGCAGCCGCGGUAAUACGGAAGGUGCGAGCGUUAAUCGGAAUUACUGGGCGUAAAGCGCACGUAGGUGGCUACUUAAGUCGGAUGUGAAAGCCCUGGGCUUAACCUGGGAAUUGCAUCCGAUACUGGGUGGCUAGAGUACGGUAGAGGGAGGUGGAAUUCCAGGUGUAGCGGUGAAAUGCGUAGAGAUCUGGAGGAACACCGGUGGCGAAGGCGGCCUCCUGGACUGAUACUGACACUGAGGUGCGAAAGCGUGGGGAGCAAACAGG
rnacentral:rRNA from 1 species